AUUUUAGAGCUAGAAAAAUAUUAUUUUAAAGUCAUAAAAAUGAUAAUUGGCUCUGUGACGUUUUGUUUUUAACUGGCACUGUAUGGCAUCCUUUAUCUUUUUUCAGCUGGAGUCUUUUGUGCAAUUGUUUCUCACCCUGCUGAUUCUGUGGUAUCUGUGUUGAAUAAAGAAAAAGGUAGCAGUGCUUCUCUGGUCCUCAAGAGACUUGGAUUUAAAGGUGUAUGGAAGGGACUGUUUGCCCGUAUCAUCAUGAUUGGUACCCUGACUGCACUACAGUGGUUUAUCUAUGACUCCGUGAAGGUCUACUUCAGGCUCCCUCGCCCUCCUCCACCCGAGAUGCCAGAGUCUCUGAAGAAGAAGCUUGGGUUAACUCAGUAGAUGGAUCAAAGCAAAUGUGGACUGAAUCUGCUUGUUGAUCAGUGUUGAAGAAAGUGCAAAAGGAACUUUUAUAUAUUUGACAGUGUAGGAAAUUGUCUAUUCCUGAUAUAAUUACUGUAGUACUCUUGCUUAAGGCAAGAGUUCCAAAUUUACUGUUGAAAUAAACCUAACUCUUCAUGAUUUGCCUGUGACUUAUUUUAAAAACUUCUUAAAAAAAGAUUUAGCUUUAAAAUAGUUGGAAAGAAUGAAGUAUAAGUUAAGGAAAAAAUACAAAACUGACCAUUGUUGGUUGAAUAUUCCAGUUGCUAUUCAGAAAUUGUCAUAUGUCUCAAGUUUUAUCACACAAAGUUCCUGUAUUUCUAGGGAAGCAGACUUUAAAUUCCUAAAAACUUGAUUUAAUUAUAGUUAAAUAUGUGUAGUCAUUUGUGGUUAUUUUGGCAAGUAAAUGUUAGUGUAUACUUUGAUUUUUGCAGCAUGUCCUACACUGUUUUUAUGUUGGUGAGUUUGCUAAUCCUUAUUUGUAAGACAAGGUAACCCAAAUUAGGCUGAUUCUUAGAAUGAUAGUAAAGGACCAAAGUGAUUGACAGCUGAAAACAAUUUUCAGGUACACUAAUUCUCUUUACACAGAUCUC
rnacentral:sRNA from 1 species